GGCGGGAUAGCUCAGCUGGCUAGAGCGUGCGGUUCAUACCCGCAAGGUCCCCAGUUCGAUUCUGGGUCCCGCUA
rnacentral:tRNA from 2 species